rnacentral:rRNA from 1 species
UGAGUACGAGAUGCUACGGCAUCGAAGCAGUCUAUGUCAUACUUCCAAGAAAAGCUUGCACUGUCAGAAACAGAUAAUGCCUGUACCAUAACCGACACAGGUGGGUAGGUAGAGUAUACUAAGGGGCGCGAGAUAACUCUCUCUAAGGAACUCGGCAAAAUGACUCCGUAACUUCGGGAGAAGGAGUGCCUUAUUUUUUAAGGUUGCAAUAACAAGAUCCAAGCAACUGUUUACCAAAAACACAGGUCUCCGCUAAGUCGUAAGACGAUGUAUGGGGGCUGACGCCUGCCCAGUGCCAGAAGGUUAAAGAAGUCGGUUAGCAUUCGCGAAGCUGGUAACUGAAGCCCUGGUGAACGGCGGCCGUAACUAUAACGGUCCUAAGGUAGCGAAAUUCCUUGUCGGGUAAGUUCCGACCCACACGAAAGGCGUAAUGAUUUGGAUACUGUCUCGGAGAGGGGCUCGGUGAAAUAGACUUGUCUGUGAAGAUGCGGACUACCUGCACCUGGACAGAAAGACCCUAUGAAGCUUUACUGUAACUUGAAAUUGAAAUUGGACUUUAUUUGCGCAGUAUAGGUGGGAGGCGUUGAAAAUAUUCUUGCGGGAAUAUUGGAGCCAUCAGUGAGAUACCACUCUUGUAAUGUUAGAUUUCUAACUUUAUAUCAUUAUCUGGUUAAAGAACAGUUUCAGGCGGGCAGUUUGACUGGGGCGGUCGCCUCCCAAAUGGUAACGGAGGCGCACAAAGGUUUCCUCUGAACGGGUAGAAAUCGUAUCUAGAGUGUAAAGGCAUAAGGAAGCUUGACUGUGAGACCUACAAGUCGAGCAGGGACGAAAGUCGGUCUUAGUGAUCUGACGGUGCUGAGUGGAAAGGCCGUCACUCAACGGAUAAAAGUUACUCUAGGAUAACAGGCUGAUCUCCCCCAAGAGUUCACAUCGACGGGGAGGUUUGGCACCUCGAUGUCGGCUCAUCGCAUCCUGGGGCGGUAGUACGUCCCAAGGGUUGGGUUGUUCGCCCAUGAAAGCGGUACGCGAGCUGGGUUCAGAACGUCGUGAGACAGUUCGGUCCAUAUCCGGUGUAGGCGUUAGAAUAUUGAGAGGAGCCUUCUUUAGUACGAGAGGACCGAGAAGGACAUACCUCUGGUGUACCAGUUAUCGUGCCAACGGUAAACGCUGGGUAGCUAUGUAUGGAGUGGAUAACCGCUGAAAGCAUCUAAGUGGGAAGCCCACCUUAAGAUAAGUAUUCUCA